rnacentral:rRNA from 1 species
CGCGCAGGCGGCUUGGCAAGUCGAGUGUGAAAUCCCUUGGCUUAACUAAGGAAUGGCGCUCGAAACUACCUCGCUAGAGGGCGGGAGAGGGAAGUGGAACUCUCGGUGUAGGGGUGAAAUCUGUAGAUAUCGAGAGGAACACCGGUGGCGAAGGCGGCUUCCUGGCCCGUAUCUGACGCUGAGGCGCGAAAGCGUGGGGAGCAAACAGGAUUAGAUACCCUGGUAGUCCACGCCCUAAACGAUGGGCACUAGGUGUGGGCGGUAUUAAUCCCGCCUGUGCCGUAGCUAACGCAUUAAGUGCCCCGCCUGGGGAGUACGGUCGCAAGGCUGAA